UUUUUUUUUUUUUUUUUUUGUCUUUUGUCUUUUUAGGAACCCACCAGCGACAUAUGGAGGUUCCCAGGCUAGGGGUCAAAUCAGAGCUAUUGCUACCAGCCUAUGCCAGAGCCACAGCAAUGCCGGAUCCGAGCCACAUCUAUGACCUACACUACAGCUCAUCGCAACGGGGGAUCCUUAACCCACUGAGCGAGGUUAGGGAUCGAACCCACAGUCUCAUGGCUCCAAGUCAGAUUCGUUCCCGCUGCACCACAAUGAGAACUCCAAAAUUUUUUUAAAUCAAAGAAAGAAAUGAGGAGUUCCUAUCAUGGCUCAGUGGUUAAUUAACUUCCCAAAUUAAUUUACUUCCAACAAAAAAAAUAUGGAAAUUGAUAAGAUAAGUAUAAAAUAAGUACGGAAAUGAAAGGAUUAAGAAUAGUAAAUAUGGGAGUUCCCGUUCUGGCUCAGCAGUUAAGAAACCUGACUAGUAUCCAUGAAGAACCGGUGGGUUAAGGAUCCCGCUGUGGUGUAGGUCACAGACGCGGCUCAGAUCCCGACUUGCUGUGGCUCUGGAGUAGGGCAGGGGCUGCAGCUCCAAUUCAGCCUCUCCCUAGCCUAGGAACCUCCAUAUGCUGUGAGUGCAGCCUGAAAAAGAAAAACAAAAAAACAAAAAAAGUGAAUACAAUUCCAAAGAAGACCAAAGUUGAAUGACUUUCAUAACCAGAUACCAACUCUUAUAAAACCACAAUUCUAAGUGUGACACUAGUGACAAGACAGACAAUAAAAUAAAGAGAGAGAGACUCCAGAAACCGACCCAUCCAUCCAUACAAAGGCUUCUGAUUUAUCAGAAAAUUUGCUCAGCAGAAGAAUCAUGGUCCUUUCAAAAAAUGAUGCUUAAUCAAAGUUUUACCCCUUUCUUCACAUCAUAUACAAAUGUUAUAGAUGAAUCAGAUCUAAUUGUGACAGAUGAAAUGGUAACAGGAGAUAAUACAAGACAGCAGCUUCACUUGGGAUAGGCAAAAACUUCCUAAAUAGGACAGAGGAAGCGCUAACAAUAAUAAAAGGAAAUAUAAAUAAAUGGACUUUGUUAAAAGAUGCCUUAAAGAGUAAAAAGGAAAACCAGAGAGUGGGAGGAGAUAUUUGCAAUGUAGGCAUCCAACUGAUAUUCAGAAUUUAUAAGGAACAACUAUAAGUCUGCAAAAAAGAGGAAAACAACCCAAUAAACUGAAGGCCAAAGACUUGUCCAACCACUUAAAAGAAAUUGACCAAUUGAGUGUUAGCCAUAAGGAAAAUGAAAAAUAGAUAUAAUAAUAAAUUACCUCUAAGAAGCCAUAAAGUUGUCUGAAACUUAAAUUUUAAAGAAAAGACCAUACACGAGUUCCCGUCCUGGCGCAGAGGAAACAAAUCCAACUAGCAACCACCAGAUUGUGGGUUUGAUCCCUGGCCUUGCUCAGUGGGUUAAGGAUCCACCGUUGCCGUGAGCUGUGGUGUAGGUUGCAGACGUGGUUCAGAUCCUGCGUUGCUGUCGCUGUGGCAUAGGCCGGCGGC
rnacentral:lncRNA from 1 species